GGUAAAAUGGCUGAGAUAAGCAUUGAACUGUAAAUUCAAAGACAGAGACU
rnacentral:tRNA from 1 species